UACGUAGGGGGCAAGCGUUGUCCGGAUUAUUGGGCGUAAAGGGCGCGUAGGCGGUGCGGUAAGUCACCUGUGAAAUCUCCUGGCUCAACUGGGAGUCUGCAGGCGAAACUGCCGUGCUGGAGUAUGGGAGAGGUGCGUGGAAUUCCCGGUGUAGCGGUGGAAAUGCGUAGAUAUCGGGAGGAACACCUGUGGCGAAAGCGGCGCACUGGACCAUAACUGACGCUGAGGCGCGAAAGCAUGGGGAGCGAACGGG
rnacentral:rRNA from 1 species